rnacentral:rRNA from 1 species
AGAGUUUGAUCCUGGCUCAGGAUGAACGCUGGCGGCGUGCCUAAUACAUGCAAGUCGAACGAGGUGCUUGAGUAGCAAUACGAGAGUAUCCUAGUGGCGAACGGGUGAGUAACGCGUUGGUGACCUACCCCAAAGUGUGGGAUAACAGUUCGAAAGAACUGCUAAUACCGCAUGUGGUUAUUGGAUUUAGAAACUGAUAACUAAAGGAGCAAUUCGCUUUGGGAGGGACCUGCGUCCCAUCAGCUAGUUGGUGAGGUAAUGGCUCACCAAGGCUACGACGGGUAGGGGACCUGAGAGGGUGACCCCCCACAAUGGAACUGAAACACGGUCCAUACACCUACGGGUGGCAGCAGUAGGGAAUAUUGCACAAUGGGCGAAAGCCUGAUGCAGCAACGCCGCGUGCGCGAUGAAGGCCUUCGGGUCGUAAAGCGCUUUUCUGGGAGAUGAGAAAGGACAGUAUCUCAGGAAUAAGUCUCGGCUAACUACGUGCCAGCAGCCGCGGUAAAACGUAGGAGGCAAGCGUUAUCCGGAUUCACUGGGCGUAAAGCGCGUGCAGGCGGUUCGGUAAGUUGGGCGUGAAAUCUCCUGGCUUAACUAGGAGAGGUCGUUCAAUACUACCGAACUUGAGAGUGAUAGAGGAAGAUGGAAUUCCCGGUGUAGUGGUGAAAUGCGUAGAUAUCGGGAGGAACACCAGUGGCGAAAGCGAUCUUCUGGAUCAUUUCUGACGCUCAGACGCGAAAGCUAGGGUAGUAAACGGGAUUAGAGACCCCGGUAAUCCUAGCCGUAAACGAUGUAAACUUGGCGUCGGUGGCUUAAACUCCAUCGGUGCCGCAGCUAACGCGAUAAGUUUACCGCCUGGGGACUACGAUCGCAAGAUUAAAACUCAAAUGAAUUGACGG